UGAUUAAUUAUUGGACUUUGCUUAUUGAAAAGAAUUAGAUAAUUUAUAAAUCAUGCCGUAAUAGAAUUUCCAACAAUUUGUAGUAUGCUUAUAAUCUUAACAACAAAAAUCCUCUGCUUUUAUACAAUAGUCUAUUAUCUUUAUUACAAAAUGAUUUUCUAUCGAUGUAAUAUUCAUUGAAAUAAUUAUCAACAAUUAUUUAAAACAUUUCAUUUCAAUCUAGGAUCAAUAUUCAGCUUUAACAAUACUUAUGCUCGUCGAAUAUAUUUCACGAACAUAGAUAUUUUCAUUUACAAGCCAUUAAUAACAGUAUUUCCGCUACGAAAGCUCAAUGAGAAGAAUGUUGUUGUGUAUAUUUCCACCCAGCCCAUCCCUGCUUACUAAGUUUUUCUUUCAGGAAUUGUUGUGGCCGCGAGCAAUGCGGUCGGUAGAGUCAGUGUUUGUACGAACAUACUUCCAAUGUUUUGAUUUUUGCAAGGGCGAACUGGCCCUGAAUAGAGUUGCGUUUGUAUGAUUAGGAAUCACGCGAAAGUAGAGUCAGUGUUUGCUGCGUAUUAUAAAAUAUUUUCUAGAGCAUCGCGGCUCUGAUUUUUCUUUUUCCAUCGCGAAAGUAGAUUCUACAAUUGUUCGCCGGAAAUUAUUCACGGUCGCGUUACUAGUACUUUAUAUCUUUAUUUUUAUUUUUAAUUUUUUUUAUUUUUAUUGCUCGAUAUAUUCGGUAUUAGAGUCACGGCACCACUGAAGAGGAGUCUUGGGCGUUGCUCCAUAAGGAAAGAGUACGAAUUUUUAUAUUUGCCGAGUUCCUGGACAUCCUGAUGAUGGCUUUCUUCACGACUUCCGUCUUGAUGAAUCUUCUUCUACAAGGCAGCCUCCUACCUGGUGUUAUCCAUCCUCCUACUUACUUGACUGUCGGAAGAAGAGUAUAUCUGCGAACGGUGAGUCGCAUGUUUUAUGAUUCCUCCGGUGCCCAAUCCUGUCGUAGGACGAAUGGUCCGAAUCGACACGGGUUACCGGUUGUAUACGUGGUUAGCGAGCACAGUGACCAUGGGUAUGCUUAUACUCAUGUGU